UUUUCUAGAUAUGUUUGGGAGGUGUAAGCCAAAAGAAUUCAAGAGAUUUAGCGGCUAAAUAUGGCACAAAGAUGUUGUAUAGAUUAGGAGCUCUAGAUAAUCUACUAGAUAAAUCGAUGAAAAUAAGCAAUGUGUUGGAUAAAGAAGAAGAAUUUGAAAUGUUGUGGUUGGAAGGUGCCAACAGUAAUGAAGAUAAGAAAGCGUGAGGACUUAGACGUGAGAAAUAACGAUGAAUUUUAAAACAUCUAUCGAUGGACUGCACAUUAGAAAACGUUUUAGUUAAAAGAAAUGUGUUCUUUGUUUAAUGUCAUUAGUAUUGACUUGAGAAAGUAGGCUUAGUUUAAAAAUUUUUAUAAUUUUUUCAAUUGUUUAUUGUUUUAUUUUUUAUUGAAAUAAAAUUGUUGAACGUAGUUCAGAUCCAAGUUUUAA
rnacentral:lncRNA from 1 species